ensembl:rRNA 5S_rRNA 5S ribosomal RNA
GUCUAAGGUCAUACCAUCCUGGACCAGCGAGAUCUCGUCUGAUCUCAGAAGAGAAGCAGGGUCGGACCUGGUUAGUACUUGGAUGGGAGACUGCCUGGGAAUACUGGGUGCUGUGGGCU